AGAGUUGGUGGCUAGGGUUCCGGCGCUUCGGCGCGGCUGGUCCGAGAGCUGCCACUGGCCGGGAGAGACAUCCCGCCAGGUGCACGGCGGGACAAAAGCCCGGGAGAC
rnacentral:sRNA from 2 species